UAAUUGUUUCAUGAAGUUUAA
rnacentral:piRNA from 1 species